GCAGGUUCGGAUCCUGUUUCUCUA
rnacentral:tRNA from 1 species